UACGUAGGGUGCGAGCGUUGUCCGGAAUUACUGGGCGUAAAGAGCUCGUAGGCGGUCUGUUGCGUCCGCUGUGAAAACUCGGGGCUUAACCCCGAGCCUGCAGUGGAUACGGGCAGACUAGAGGUAGGUAGGGGAGAAUGGAAUUCCCGGUGUAGCGGUGAAAUGCGUAGAUAUCGAGAGGAACACCAGUGGCGAAGGCGAGUCCCUGGACAACACCUGACACUGAGGCACGAAAGCUAGGGGAGCAAACAGG
rnacentral:rRNA from 1 species